AUGACAGACUCUUAAAGAUUUAUUCAGAUGCUGUGCAGAUUGAUGCCAACCAAAUGUUGCCUUAAAUAUGUUGUCCAUGUUUAUAGAUCUGAAAGUAGGAGGGAGAGAAGAAAGUUCCAUGGGACAGUUCUCUCCUUUCCUGAGACAGCCACUUAAAUCUGAAUCUGAAUCAAUGUAUAAUUUCAAAGAAGACUCACAGAGUAAUCACCAAGAUCUUCAAUAAUCUUUCUGACUGAUAUCAUGACUCUUCAUCCAAUGUUUUUCAAAGUACAGUAAAUAUCAAAAGAUCCAAUGAAAGGUGUAUUAGAGGCAGCUCAAGCUGGAUUGGGAGAGCAGAUUGAUAAAUUUUCUAGGGACCUUCCCCACCCUGGUACUUCUGAUGGAAAAGAACAAUGUUUUCAUCAUCUCUUUAAGGACAAAAGCUUUCCUCUGUCACAGUAUGACCCUCUGCCGGUGCUGGAAAUAAAACACAUUAGCCUGAAUAGAUUUUGCUUAACCAUAGAAGAAAGGAAGUAGGAGGGUUAGAGCUCUUUGAAUAUACUGAUGCAGCAACUGAGGAUCCCACAGGUCAAAUGAUGUGCCUUCAUCAAGUCUGAGAGUCAAAGUUCAAACUGACAUUUUUGACUGCAGGUCUAAUAUUUCUUCCAUGAUGCUGUGCAAAGUAGCUCACUGUGUUCAGAGUGAGCAAAAUUUCCAAUACUUCUACCAACUCAAUUUCUGGUGACAGGAG